rnacentral:rRNA from 1 species
CUGCUGCCUUCCGUAGGAGUCUGGGCCGUGUCUCAGUCCCAAUGUGGCCGGCCAACCUCUCAGUCCGGCUACUGAUCGUCGCCUUGGUGGGCCGUUACCCCGCCAACUAGCUAAUCAGACGCGAGCUCAUCUCAGAGCGAUAAAUCUUUGACAGCCAGGGAGAUGCCUCCCAGCUGUAUCAUGCGGUAUUAGCGGCUGUUUCCAGCCGUUAUUCCCCCACUCCAAGGCAGAUUG